ACGACUCUCGGCAACGGA
rnacentral:siRNA from 1 species